rnacentral:rRNA from 1 species
UGGAUAACUGAGGUAAUUCUUGAGCUAAUACAAUGCAGCAAAGCUCCGAUUUUUGACGAGCGCAUCUAUUAGAUUAAAGCCAAUCGGGUUUCGGCCCGUCAAUUGGUGACUCUGAAUAGCUAUGGCUGAUCGCAUGGUCUAGUACCGGCGACGUGUCUAUCAAGUGUCUGCCUUAUCAACUUUCGAUGGUAGUUUAUGUGCCUACCAUGGUUGUAACGGGUAACGGAGAAUAAGGGUUCGACUCCGGAGAGGGAGCCUGAGAAACGGCUACCACAUCCAAGGAAGGCAGCAGGCGCGCAAAUUACCCACUCUCGGCAUGAGGAGGUAGUGACGAAAAAUAACGAGACCGUUCUCUAUGAGGCCGGUUAUCGGAAUGGGUACAAUUUAAACCCGUUAACGAGGAUCUAUGAGAGGGCAAGUCUGGUGCCAGCAGCCGCGGUAAUUCCAGCUCUCAAAGUGUAUAUCGUCAUUGCUGCGGUUAAAAAGCUCGUAGUUGGAUCUGCGCCUCAGAACUCGGUCCACCCGACUGGGUGUGAACUGGGCUUCUGGGCUAAUACUGCUGGUUUUCCCUGCGUUGCCUUCAUCGGUCGCGUAGGGUGGCUGGCGAGUUUACUUUGAAAAAAUUAGAGUGCUUCAAGCGGGCUAUUGUCUGAAUACUCGUGCAUGGAAUAAUAGAAUAGGAUCUCGGUUCUA